AGGAAUAUUGGUCAAUGGGCGAGAGCCUGAACCAGCCAAGUAGCGUGCAGGAUGACGGCCCUAUGGGUUGUAAACUGCUUUUAUAAGGGAAUAAAGUUAGUCUCGUGAGACUUUUUGCAUGUACCUUAUGAAUAAGGACCGGCUAAUUCCGUGCCAGCAGCCGCGGUAAUACGGAAGGUCCGGGCGUUAUCCGGAUUUAUUGGGUUUAAAGGGAGCGUAGGCCGGAGAUUAAGCGUGUUGUGAAAUGUAGACGCUCAACGUCUGCACUGCAGCGCGAACUGGUUUCCUUGAGUACGCACAAAGUGGGCGGAAUUCGUGGUGUAGCGGUGAAAUGCUUAGAUAUCACGAAGAACUCCGAUUGCGAAGGCAGCUCACUGGAGCGCAACUGACGCUGAAGCUCGAAAGUGCGGGUAUCGAACAGGAUUAGAUACCCUGGUAGUCCGCACGGUAAACGAUGGAUGCCCGCUGUUGGUCUGAACAGGUCAGCGGCCAAGCGAAAGCAUUAAGCAUCCCACCUGGGGAGUACGCCGGCAACGGUGAAACUCAAAGGAAUUGACGGGGGCCCGCACAAGCGGAGGAACAUGUGGUUUAAUUCGAUGAUACGCGAGGAACCUUACCCGGGCUUGAAUUGCAGAGGAAGGAUUUGGAGACAAUGACGCCCUUCGGGGCCUCUGUGAAGGUGCUGCAUGGUUGUCGUCAGCUCGUGCCGUGAGGUGUCGGCUUAAGUGCCAUAACGAGCGCAACCCCUCUCCUUAGUUGCCAUCAGGUUAAGCUGGGCACUCUGGGGACACUGCCACCGUAAGGUGUGAGGAAGGUGGGGAUGACGUCAAAUCAGCACGGCCCUUACGCCCGGGGCUACACACGUGUUACAAUGGCAGGUACAGAGAGACGGUCCCUUGCAAAAUGGAUCAAAUCCUUAAAGCCUGUCUCAGUUCGGACUGGGGUCUGCAACCCGACCCCACGAAGCUGGAUUCGCUAGUAAUCGCGCAUCAGCCAUGGCGCGGUGAAUACGUUCCCG
rnacentral:rRNA from 1 species